rnacentral:rRNA from 1 species
CCUACGGGAGGCUGCAGUGGGGGAUAUUGCACAAUGGGGGGAACCCUGAUGCAGCGACGCCGCGUGGGUGAAGGAGCGUUUCGGCGCGUAAAGCCCUAUCGGCAGGGAAGAAGAUGACGGUGCCUGACCAAGAAGCCCCGGCUAACUACGUGCCAGCAGCCGAGGUACUACGUAGGGGGCAAGCGUAAUCCGGAUUUACUGGGUGUAAAGGGGGCGCAGACGGGAAUGCAAGCCAGGAGUGAAAGCCCGGGGCACAACCCCGGGACUGCUCGUGGAACUGCAUGGCUGGAGUACAGGAGGGGCAGGCGGAAUUCGUGGUGUAGCGGUGAAAUGCGUAGAUAUUAGGAGGAACACCGGUGGCGAAGGCAGCCUGCUGGACUGUGACUGACGUUGAGGCACGAAGGCGUGGGGAGCAAACAGGAUUAGAUACCCCAGUAGGC